rnacentral:rRNA from 1 species
UGCCUAACACAUGCAAGUCGAGCGGAAAGGCCUCCUUCGGGAGGUACUCGAGCGGCGAACGGGUGAGUAACACGUGGGCAACCAACCCCUCACAUCGGGAUACCCCGGGAAAACUCGGAUCAAUACCGGAUAAUGCGCGACGCUGUUGGGCGUCGCACCAAAGGUAGCUUCGGCCUCUGGUGAGGGACGGGCCCGCGGCCCAUUAGCUUGUUGGUGGGGUAAUGGCCUACCAAGGCAACGAUGGGUAGCUGGUCUGAGAGGAUGAUCAGCCACACUGGGACUGAGAUACGGCCCAGACUCCUACGGGAGGCAGCAGUGGGGAAUAUUGCGCAAUGGGCGGAAGCCUGACGCAGCAACGCCGCGUGCGGGAGGAAGGCCUUCGGGUCGUAAACCGCUUUCAGGGGGGACGAAGCCACCAGGGUUAAUAGCCCAUGGGGUGACGGUACUCCCAGAAGAAGCCCCGGCUAACUACGUGCCAGCAGCCGCGGUAAUACGUAGGGGGCGAGCGUUGUCCGGAAUCAUUGGGCGUAAAGGGCGUGUAGGUGGCUUGGAAAGUCUUACGUGAAAGCCUGCGGCUCAACCGCAGAAGUGCGUAGGAAACUUCCUCGCUAGAGUCCGGAAGAGGAGAGCGGAAUUCCUGGUGUAGCGGUGGAAUGCGCAGAUAUCAGGAGGAACACCCGUGGCGAAGGCGGCUCUCUGGGACGGUACUGACACUGAGACGCGAAAGCG